rnacentral:rRNA from 1 species
AUACGUAGGCGGCAAGCGUUGUCCGGAUUUACUGGGCGUAAAGGAUGCGUAGGCGGAUGUUUAAGUGAGAUGUGAAAUACCCGAGCUCAACUUGGGUGCUGCAUUUCAAACUGGAAGUCUAGAGUGCAGGAGAGGAGAAGGGAAUUCCUAGUGUAGCGGUGAAAUGCGUAGAGAUUAGGAAGAACACCAGUGGCGAAGGCGACUUUCUGGACCAUAACUGACGCUGAGGCUCGAAAGCGUGGGGAGC